CCUCUGCCCUGUCAUCUGUCCCUCUGCCCUGUCAUCUGUCCCUCUGCCCUGUCCCAUAUCCCUGUCCCUCUGCCCUGUCCUUGAUACUGUCCCUUUGCCAUGUCCCUGUCCCCUGUCUUCUGUCCCUCUGCCCUGUCCUUGAUACUGUCCCUCUGACCUGUCCUCUGUCCCUCUGCCCUGUCUUUCAUACUGUCCCUCUGCCCUGUCCUCUGUCCCUCUGCCCUGUCCUUGAUACUGUCCCUCUGCCCUGUCCUCUGUCCCUCUGCCCUGUCUUUUGAUACUGUCCUUCUGCCCUGUCCUCUGUCCCUCUGCCCUGUCCCUCUGGCCUGUCCUUGAUACUGUCCCUCUGCCCUGUCCUCUGUCCCUCUGCCCUGCCCCUCUGGCCUGUCCUUGAUACUGUCCCUCUGCCCUGUCCUCUGUCCCUCUUCCCUGUCCCUCUGCCCUGUCCUCUGUCCCUCUGCCCUGUCCUUGAUAGUGUCCCUCUACCGUGUCCUCUGUCCCUCUGCCCUGUCCCUCUGCCCUGUCCUUGAUAUUGUCCCCUGUCCCUCAUACUGUUCCUGUUCCCUGUCCUCUCGUCCUGUCCUCUCCUCCUGUCCUCUUGUCCUGUCCUCUCCUCCUGUCCAGUUAGCAGAGUUAAAUUGCUCCACUCUCUUUAGCUUUGUAGUUUUACAGAUCAGCCAUGCAUCCAUCUUGGAUCAAACCAAAAAAAGAGAGAUAAUAUUAUUGUGUGUAAAGCGAUAUGUUAUUUACACCUGGCAUGAGAUGACACUGAGUUGUGCUUCCCUUGGAAGUGCUGUGUCCUCAGAGACCAGGAGAAGGACCCAGUGUGGAUUCUUUCAUAGAACUAGAAUGAGAAAUAGAAACAAUUCCUUCUAACUCUAUCGGUUCUGUGGAUUUCAGGUCCAGACCAGGUGCUGUCUGUCUGUCUGUCUGUCUGUCUGUCUGUCUGUCUGUCUGUCUGGUGCUGCCGUGGUGUAGCCUUAACAUUCCAAGGAGGGUCAUGUGACCCCCUGAGUAGCAUUAUGGGUAAUUAUUAGCACUGUGUCUGUGUCAUCCAACCUCAGCGGAAGUUAUGUCUCGUAAUCGCCAGGGGAAAAGUAAAACAAAACAAACAUGAUUUAGUUUUUUGCAAGGCAAGAGACGGUGUUACUUAACAUUUACUGUUCCUUAAGCAAAACAACUGCAAACCCUUCCAAAAAAAAGAAAAAGGUUUUGAAGUUUACAGUCUUAACAGAAACCAACUAUUCAGGUCUAUAUCUUAAAGGCUUUUUUGGAAGAAGAUUUUUUUUUUUAAUAAAAAAAACAUGACUUAUUUUUGGUAAUUUGUUAUUUUUUAUGAAAGAGAAAAACGAAACUGAAACCUCACUGGGUUUUUGUACCACUAUAAUCAUACAAGAAAUCAUGAGAGAGCUAAACAUCAUAUUUACUCUGUAUUCACUUCAGUUCUUAUUACGUGCCUUCUAAUCUAAUGUUUUAGACAGCGUCUGAAAUGGCUCCCUAUCCCCUAUAUGGUACACCCCCUACUACUUUACAGUACUGCGCUAUUAGAGAAUAGGGUGCCGUUUCAGACACAGACAAUAUCUUAUGUACUAUCUAGUGGGAUUGGUGAGAGGGUUGAUUUACUUCACUUUUGUUUUUAAUGUAGAGAAAUGUAGACGUGUUUCUUUAUGUGGGGGGGUCUUUAUGUGCGGGGGUCGACUGUAUUAUAUGGUUUUUGCCGUGGAAGUUGAUGCUUGGUGCUUUGAUUGCACAAAUGAACAGGAAACUGAAAUACCAGAGUGUGUACUGUGGGCCUCUUCGUGCGUGCGUGCGUGCGCGUGCGUGCGUGCGUGUGUGUGUGUAAAGUUUGAAGCCUUAUUCAUUCUUCUUCACUUAUUUGUGACUUAAUGAUGAUCUGUUGUUACUGGCUUUACAUUCCCAUCUUCUAGACUGUUCUUCAGCACCAUUUUCAGAACUAAUCCCUUUUGAUGCAGAAUGUAGCUCAGGUAUAUAAAAAAAAUGUUAAACAAUCUAUUUAAGUCAAUACUGACUGACUCCUGUUUAGCAAAUCUGAUGAGGUCAAAAAAAGAGGUCAAAUUUUAUUUUUAUUUUUUAAAUCGGUUACUUUGCCAGCAAAAACAUAUUGUAAUCAGAUUACAGAGGAUUACUUCUUGGAUUACUUUUACCUUCAGAAAGAAUGUUUGCGGGAAGAAAAAUAAAAUGCAUUAUGACCAAUGUUCCCCUACAUCUUUUGGAGGAAGCAAAUGUCACGUCUGCUGAGCACAAACUUGAACGUUGUGAAAAUCCUGUGCAACUUCAAGCCUCGUGUUUUAAUGUGAUCACUGAGGCUGUACCCGCUUUGAGUUACAGUUUUAACAGUGGUCAAGUAGGCUACUGUGGCUAUUUGAUCACAAUGUAGAUCUACCAGAGUGGCCUACCAUCAGAAACAACGGAGAAAAUGCAUCCCGUAAUAUUUUAACAUGGAAAUAGAUGUUCAGACUACAGUAGCAACCAAUGUGUGGCGUUCAAUGUAGAACGCACAUCUAUCUGAUGGCUUAUAGAAGUGUUGACUACAAAGUGUUGACUACAAAGUGUUGACUACAAAGUGUUGACAGUACUGAAUAAGAACUUAAACAUGUCACUCAUAAAAACAGCAGCUCUUUGCUGUAUUCGUUGACGGUCUCUCUCCAGUCGUGGUUUUAAAACGUUUUACAUCUCACAGUAUCAACUUUGCUGUAGCUUUCCUUUAUGCUGCUAAGUUACUGCAGACACGGUCAUCUGAGACAUCUGAUUGGCCAGUGGUAGGCUUAUAGUGCACAUGAUUUGCUCUCUGGGUCCGCCGGGAAGGCAGAGUUUGUACCUUCAGACACAUGAAUAGGAACAUAAGGCUUAAUCGUUUGGGUUUUUACAGAAAUGUUUGGUGAUCGACUAGUAAUGCCUUGAAUAUUUAAUUAACAUUUUUUUGAUUUAACCUUUAUUUAACUAGGCAAGUCAGUUAAGAACAAAUUCUUAUUUACAAUGACGGCCUAGGAACAGUGGGUUAACUGCCUUGUACAGGGGCAGAACAACAGAUUUUUACCAUGUCAACUCGGGGAUUUGUUCGAUCACGAACAGUCUGACCACCAAUCAGAGACCACUAUGAUGACACACCAAAUGAUGACCACCAAUCAGAGAGCACUAUGAUGACACACCAAAUGAGUUUAAUGGAUCCUUUCUGUCUUCUUCUAAUGCCUCUUAAGAGGAAAGUAAUCCAAAUGUAACAGAAAGUAAUCUGAAUACUUUACUGAGUUUGGGUAAUCCAAAAAGUAAUUUUUUCGAUUACAAUUUGACAGGUAACUAGUAACUGUAACAGAUAACAUUUCUAAAGUAACCUACCUAAACCCUGUGUAUAAAUGUUAUUCCUUUGAUGUUAAGGCCCACAACACUCACUUAGGUCAUUUCAGGUUUUCCUUCAUUUUGCUAUUUUUGAGUUAAGCUGUAAAGAGAACCUCCCAUAUGUGUGUUUUUGAGUUGUAAUCUUUAUUUUUACUUGUUUCUCAUAUUAUUCAUUUUAGGGUAUUUUGGUUGCCUGUUUUUUUUUGAUUCGUACUGAUUUCUGUAGUGCAUUUUCUUCUUCUCUCUCUUUAAAAAGGUGAACUGGUUGUCUGUCACUCUGCUUUUCAUAACAACAGGUGUUUGAGUCUGCAGAAAGCUCUGAGAAUGUGUCUGAAAUAACACCGUAUUCCCUAUAUAGUGCAUUACUUUUUUUUACGGAGCCACAGGAGUCCCCCCCUGGCACUGACCUCGACCCAAAGUUUUUGGGUGCAUCAAAAGUAGUGCCCGGUAUAGGGAAUAGGGCACAAUAAUGCUGUGGUGUCUGAGGGCUGGUUCAGACCGUGAACCUCAUAUAAACCACCAUACUGAUUGAUUGAUGCUGCGCUGCAUGUAACACCCUGGACCAGAGCUAGUCUCCGCUGAGCUGCCUUGGUCUUCGUCAUACUUCUCCUUCUGUGGAUUGACUCUCUCACGUCUAAAAGCUAUGUCGUUUAAAACAUUUUCAUUUGUGAACAGGAAAGAAGCCGGGCUGACUGUACAUCUGUAUCAUCGUGAAAGCAUGAUCAUUCUAGAAUGUCUGAAUGUUCUAGGUCUCUGAAUGUUCUAGAACGUCUGAAUGUUCUAGGUCUUCCAAAUGGCACCCUAUUCCCUAUAUAGUGCACUACUUUUGACCAGAGCCCUAUGGUCCCUGUAUAGGGAAUAGGGUUCCAUUUGGGAAGCUACCACAGUCAUGCCUUAACUCAGGCGGCAUAGUUCAGCCACGAUGACAGACUUUUCUUUUCAAUUGUGACUAACAUUUUACUUUUACAUUAUCAAACGUUUUUAUAUUGAAGAGUCACAAACAACAGAAACAAACAGGACCAAAGUUGAUGUGCCUUUCAUUGAUCUGUUAUUCAUCCCCUGGUUUCCCUCAUCCAUCACUAUUGUUUAAAUUAAAGACAGUCAUCCCCUGGUUCCCUCAUCCAUCACUAUUGUUUAAAUUAAAGACAGUCAUCCCCUGGUUCCCUCAUCCAUCACUAUUGUUUAAAUUAAAGACAGUCAUCCCCUGGUUCCCUCAUCCAUCACUAUUGUUUAAAUUAAAGACAGUCAUCCCCUGGUUUCCCUCAUCCAUCACUAUUGUUUAAAUUAAAGACAGUCAUCCCCUGGUACCCUCAUCCAUCACUAUUGUUUAAAUUAAAGACAGUCAUCCCCUGGUUUCCCUCAUCCAUCACUAUUGUUUAAAUUAAAGACAGUCAUCCCCUGGUUCCCUCAUCCAUCACUAUUGUUUAAAUUAAAGACAGUCAUCGCUGAAGACGAGGUCAUUGGCUCUCUCAAAACAGGAGUAAAGUUAUUGAUAUAUAUUUCAGUCAAAAUAUAAUUUACAACAUUUUGACAGGAAUCCAUAUUAAGGGAGCCCAUUCCUAGCCUGGUUAACCCAGACUGAAACAGUGAAACUUAAUGAAACAUAAUGAAAUCAGGUUGGAUUCCAGGCUAGCCGAUUGAUUCCCACAGACUCACGUAAAUAAAACGCAAAAAAAAAACUAAACAAAUGUACCUUUAGCUUUACUUUGAGUUGUACUAGAAGACAACACAUGAACUGAAACCAAAGGAACGGAAUCCUCUAUUACAACAACCAAUCAUAGUGUAGCGACCCUCACUGGACCAGGGUUCGAUUCCUGGCUGGGGAUACUGGACCAGGGUUUGAUUCCUGGCUGGGGCUACUGGACCAGGUUUCGGCUACUGGACCAGGGUUCGAUUCCUGGUCGGGGCUACUGGACCAGGGUUUGAUUCCUGGCUGGGGCUACUGGACCAGGGUUCGAUUCAUGGCCGGGGCUACCCCCCCCCCCCCCUGAGUUUACUACAAUAGUGUAACUUUAAUAGUGACUUUUCCUUUCAAUAUCACUGAACUAUAAUGGGAGACAAAUGAUUGAAGAAGUUAAAUAGAUUUCCAGUUCCAUGAUUAUUUAAGGGAGAGAUUAUAUAUAAGAGCCAUGUAGUUACACAGAGCUCAGUCAGAGGGGUGAUGUCCAAAACAGCACCCUUAUCUCUACCUAGUGCACUACUUUUUGACCUGAGCCCUAUGGGCCCUGAACAUAAGUGUAGUGCGCUAUAUAGAGGAUAGGGUGUAAUUUGGGACACAGGGAAGUGUCUCUAUCUGAUUGAAUUUGUUUUUCUUGUCUCGUCAAGGCACGUCUUGAUAAUAUACCUUAUUUAUAGUUAACAUUCAAUGUUUCACGACCAAAAUAGACAACAAGAAAGUCUGUAAUCAAACACGUUCCCUUUUCAAACCUGGCCAAAAUGGUUCAUGGGAACAAGAGAGCUACAAACAACAACAAUAACGAGAGACAUUAAAGGCCCAGUGCACUCAAAAACUUGAUUUACCUGUGUUUUAUAUUUCCACGCUAUGAGGUUGGAAUGAUACUGUGAAAAUGAUGAUAAUGCCCUUUUAGUGUAAGGGGUGUUUGAAAAGACUGCCUAAAAUUCUAGCCUGUUUUGGUGGGAUGGAGUUUUAGCCUGCCUGGGACAUCACCAGUUAAUGACAUCAUUAGUUAAUAGACCAAUAAGAAAGAGUUCCAAACCUCUCUGCCAAUAACACCUACUUUUCAGUUUUCCCCUCCCCACUCAGACCACUCCCAGACAGUCCUAUCUAAAUUCUUGCUUGAGAUAUUGCUCUUUGAUCAUUUAAAUCACAGUUAGGUCCUUAAUUUUUACCCAGAAAGUAUUUGAUACUGAGAUUUUUUUUUGAAAACAGCUGGACUUUUUUGGACUUUCAACUGUUUUUGUUUUUAUAUAUAUAUUUAAAGAUGAUGAACACAACAUGAAAAAAAACAACUUGUGUAUUUUGAUAUCAUACCAGGUUUGAUUUGUAAAGCAGUGUGUGUGACGUCGUAGGGAUGGAAGGCGGGGUGAGAAACAACAGGUUUCCUUUAUGAGUUGAUGUAAUUUAAAUGCAAAUAGAAAAUGAAACUAUUAAAAGAAACAUAUUUUAAAAAUGUUGUGGUGCAUGGUUGAAUGGAGUUUCUGUAUUUGAUAUAGAAACAUUUUCUUUUAUGUUUUUCGAUUGAUUACUAUGAUAAUUAUAGCUAUUAUGUUUCUCAUUAUUAUUAUUGCAUCAGAAUCUCUUCUUAAUUUUUUUCCUAAAGCAACUUUAAUUGUAGCAUGCCUUGAAUAAAUGUUAUGAUCUCUGUACUUUCUUCAGUC